UACGAAGGGGGCUAGCGUUGUUCGGAAUCACUGGGCGUAAAGGGCGCGUAGGCGGCUUUAUAAGUCGGGGGUGAAAGCCUGUGGCUCAACCACAGAAUUGCCUUCGAUACUGUAGAGCUUGAGACCGGAAGAGGUAAGUGGAACUGACGAGUGUAGAGGUGAAAUUCGUAGAUAUUCGCAAGAACACCAGUGGCGAAGGCGGCUUACUGGUCCGGUUCUGACGCUGAGGCGCGAAAGCGUGGGGAGCAAACAGG
rnacentral:rRNA from 1 species